UUGGCUGGGAGGACAUGGUGUUGGUUUAAAGACCAAACUCACUUCCUGAGAAGUGGGCAGAGCCGUACGUAGCCUUAGUGAGGCUUGGCUCAAUGCCCAGUCCAGUGGCUUUGGAAUGUGCUAACUUGGCUAGGCUAGACUACAUUUCCCAGAAUUCUUUCUCCCAUGUUUCCAGUUAGGAAGAGCUAGAGGGCUAUUCUCUCAUGAGAGUGGAAGGCGGCAUGGCGGGGGCAGCCAUCUUGCAGCGCAUGGACAGGUUUUGCUGAUCUGCUGACUCGCCCCAUUGACAUGAAGCAGUGGUUGGGCCUGACACUGCCCUCCCUUCCCCCUAGACCUUCCUACAGCUUCUCUGACCCCUGAGCUGGGUGUUUACUUGUUCAGCAACAUGGCACAGGGCCUCAGCUUCUGCAGGAUACCCUCAUCAUCAAGUUUAUUUCAGGGUACUUCACAGAGAACGCACACAGUGUCAACCCUCUGCUCUGCUGCCUUACCUCAGACUUGGACAUCAAAAACAACAGGGAGGUGAAACUGCAUUUUGAGAACAAGUUCACAAUCACGGUCCACUUGGCAUUGGAGGAAGAUGGAAUUACUCUGCUCUGCUCAGAUAACAAGUGAGAGAGCCAAGUUAUGUUACUCCAGCAGAGCAGAAGCCAGGAACUGGACCGUGGAGGACGGAAGAUCAGAGAGCAAACAGGGUAAGCAGGUGACUGAGGGAUGCAUGCUGUGCCCUUCUGCCCUCUAGGGGAUCACAAGUCUCUGCUGUGUAUGAAAAGGGCGACAUAGAAAACAGAAUUUUACAAUUCAGUGCUUUAUAAGGUGAUAUCUAAAAACCAUACCUACAGGAACAAAUGUGGAUUUCCUUUUUUUGAAUAUGAUUCUGGGUGGGCAUAUAAGAAAUGCUGACUAGCAUUACUUGCAACUGUAAAAUUAAUAAUAGAGUUGGAUCUUAUUACGAAAAGAAAACCAGAAUUCACAGUGUUCUUGUGGUUAUAGGCCAAGAUACCCGGGCUGAGAAAAUUUCAUGCUGACUUAGACCAGCUUUAAAAAAGAGGGAAAAGCCUGCCACCGGCUUGUCACCAAAUAAGCAUUCAUUAACCAAGCAAAGUAACUUACAAUGGUAUAUUAUUAUCUAGUGAUAAGCCAGAAAAAAACAACAAUUUCCUGAGCACCUUGAUGUGUCAGCGUUGUACUGGGUAACAGGGCUGGUCAGGGAGAUUAUUAUUGUCACUGAGCUUGGGGUGGGGCAGCUGGUUAGCAGGUACCAACUAUGAAAUGGCCUCAGAGUGGGAAGGGCUGUGAGUUUAUCUUUAUUUUUAGAUUUUUAUGUUUUAUUUGGACAUAAUUUUAUGUGCAAAAACUGCAAAAAUAGUAUAGAGAGCCU